AUGGACUACAGCAGCCAGGCCUCCCUCUCCAUCACCAACUCCCGGAGCUUAUUCAAACUCAUGUCCAUUGAGUCAGUGAUGCCAUCCAGCCAUCUCAUCCUCUGUCGUCCCCUUCUCCUCCUGCCUUCAGUCUUUCCCAGCAUCAGGGUCUUUUCCAAUGAGUUGGCUCUUCGAAUCAGGUGGCCAAAGUAUUGGAGCUUCAGCUUCAGCGACAGCCCUUCCCAUGAAUAUCCAGGGCUGAUUGCCUUUAGGAUGGACUGGCUGGAUCAAAAGCAGUCAGUUCUUCAGCGCUGCUGGAGCAAAGUGCCAUAGAUUUCCCGAGAAAUCUGUAUGCAGCUCAAAAAGCAACAGUUAGAAAUGAGCAUGGAACAACGGACUGGUUCCAAAUUGGGAAAGGAGUACAUCAAGGCUGUAUAUUGUCACCUUGCUGAUUUAACUUAUAUGCAGAGUACAUCAUGCAAAUUCCAGACUGGAUGAAGCACACCUGGAAUCAAGAUUGCCAGGAGAAAUAUCAAUAACCUCAGAUAUGCAGAUGACACCACCCUUAUGGCAGAAAGUGAAGAGGAACUAAAGAGCCUCUUGAUGAAAGUGAAAGAGGGGAGUGAAAAAGUUGGCUUAAAACUCAACAUUCAAAAAAACUUAGAUCAUGGCAUCUGGUCCCAUCAUUUCAUGGCAAAUAGAUGGGGAAACAAUGGAAAUAGUAAGAGACUUUAUUUUCUUGGGCUCCCAAAUCACUGCAGAUGGUAACUGCAGCCAUGAAAUUAAAAUAUGCUUGCUCCUUGGAAGAAAGGCUAUGACCAACCUAGACAACGUAUUAAAAAGCAGAGACAUUACUUUGCCAACAAAAGUCCGUCUAGUCAAAGCUAUGGUGUUUCCAGUAGUCAUGUUUGGAUGUGAUAGUUGGACCAUAAAGAAAGCUGAGCACUGAAGAAUUGAUGCUUUUGAACUGUGGUGGUGGAGCAGAUUCUUGACAGUCCCUUGGACUGCAAGGAGAUCAAACCAGUCCAUCCUAAAGGAAAUCAGUCCUGAAUAUUCAUUGGAAGGACUGAUGCUGAAGUUGAAACUCCGAUACUUUGGCCACCUGAUGCAAAGAACUAACUCAUUCCCUGAUGCUGGGAAAGAUUGAAGGCAGGAGGAGAAGGGAAUGACAGAGGAUGAGAUGGUUGGAUGGCAUCACCGACUCGAUGGACAUGAGUUUGAGCAAGCUCUGGGAGUUGGUGAUGGACAGGGAGGCCUGGCGUGCUGCAAUCCAUGGGGUCGCAAAGAGUGGGAUACGAUUGAGCAACUGAACUGAACUGAUUGACUGGGUGGA
ensembl:lncRNA